rnacentral:tRNA from 1 species
ACCAGUGUAGCAUAGUGGUUUGAGUGUUGGACUAUGACUCUGGAGACCAGGGUUCGAAUCCUGACUUGGCC